rnacentral:rRNA from 1 species
UACGUAGGUGGCAAGCGUUGUCCGGAUUUAUUGGGUUUAAAGGGUGCGUAGGCGGCUUGAUAAGUCAGUGGUGAAAGCCGAUCGCUUAACGAUCGAACUGCCAUUGAUACUGCCAGGCUUGAGUAUAGUUGAGGUAGGCGGAAUUGACAGUGUAGCGGUGAAAUGCAUAGAUAUUGUCAAGAACACCAAUUGCGAAGGCAGCUUACUAAAGUAUAACUGACGCUGAGGCAACGAAAGUGCGGGGAUCAAACAGG